rnacentral:lncRNA from 1 species
AACUUGUUAAGGACCCGUUAUUAACCAGUUCUUAUCGUGUGACCCGAUAAGGACCCGAUUAGUGAUCGUAUCGACCCAAAAUCUGUUAUUUUCAUGUCGUUUACAUGUCAUGUUAACGAAUCGUGUAAGAAAUUACCAGGUCUAGUUGUGAUGUUCUUUUGAUGUGUAAGCUCUUAAGUUGUCUUAAGAGACGCGUUUAACAUGUCUGUCGUAUGUAUAUUUUUACAAUUUUAAAAAAUUUUCUUUCACUCAAAAAAAUGUUUUGAAACUAAGCUAUUGGCAAUUUUACAUUAAAAGAUAUGUUUGAAAGAUUACAAAUCUUCCAACGAAAACAAGAUGAAUACAAAUCCAAACUGUCACAUCCUGACCCAGGCUCCACCACAUCCCGGGCUC